rnacentral:rRNA from 1 species
AUUGAACGCUGGCGGCAGGCCUAACACAUGCAAGUCGAGCGAGCGGCGGACGGGUGAGUACUGUCUGGGAAACUGCCUGAUGGAGGGGGAUAACUACUGGAAACGGUAGCUAAUACCGCAUACCAUCAGAUGUGCCCAGAUGGGAUUAGCUAGGAGGUGGGGUAACGGCGCACCUAGGCGACGAUCCCUAGCUGGUCUGAGAGGAUGACCAGCCACACUGGAACUGAGACACGGUCCAGACUCCUACGCGAGGCAGCAGUGGGGAAUAUUGCGCAAUGGGCGCAAGCCUGAUGCAGCCAUGCCGCGUGUGUGAAGAAGGCCUUCGGGUUGUAAAGCACUUUCAGCGGGGAGGCGUUACCCGCAGAAGAAGCACCGGCUAACUCCGUGCCAGCAGCCGCGGUAAUAC